rnacentral:rRNA from 1 species
UGAUAAUAUUAAUAUAUAGAUACAAUUAUAUAAAAAUCGUAUAUAACGAAUGUCUAGGUAACUAAAGACGAUGAAAGACGCUAAUAUGCGAUAAUCUUUUUAAGGUUUCUUAAUGGGGUAACCUACUACUUAAAAACUAGUAUUUAUUUAAAAAUAAAAGUGAACCGGGUGAACUGAAACAUCUAAGUAACCCGAGGAAAAGAAAUCAAUUUGAGAUUUCCAAAGUAGUGGCGAACGAAAUGGAAGAAGCCCAAAAAAUUAAAUUUAAAAUAUUUAAAAAAAAAAUUUUGAAUAAUUUACUCUAAAAAGUAAUAGUCUUUAUUUUUAAAUUUUUAUUUUAAUAAUAUGAGUAUGUUAGGACACGUGAAAUCCUUACAGAAAAAAGGGGGACCAUCCUCUAAGGCUAAAUACUAAUAGUUAACCGAUAGUGAACUAGUACCGUGAGGGAAAGAUGAAAAAGAACCUUUAAAUAGGAGUGAAAUAGAACCUGAAAUUAUAUACGUAAAAGCAAUAGAAGCUGAAAAGUAACUAUAUACCUUUUGUAUAAUGGGUCAGCGACUUAUUUAUUUUAGCAAGCUUAACACUAGGUAGGCGUAGAGAAAUCAAGUCUGAAAGGGCGAAAGUUAAAUUAAAUAGACCCGAAACCGAGCGAUCUAUCUAUAAACAGGUUGAAUGUAAAGUAAAAUUUACUGGAGGACCGAACCGGUAUCUGUUGCAAAAGAUUCGGAUGAUUUGUGGAUAGGGGUGAAAGGCUAAUCAAGCUCGGAGAUAGCUGGUUCUCUCCGGAAGCUAUUUAGGUAGCGCCUUAUAAAUAAUAAUUAUUGGUAAAGCACUGUAUUGAUUAAGUUUUUACUGAAUCAUAACAAACUAAGAAUAAUAAUUAUUUUAUUAUAGGAGACACACAAAGGGUGAUAACAUCCUUUGUGAAAAGGGAAACAACCCAGAUCAUAAAUUAAGGUCCCUAAAUUCUAUUUGAGUGGAAAAUGAUGUUAGUUUUCUUUGACAAUCAAAAGGUGGGCUUAGAAGCAGCCAUCCUUUAAAGAAAGCGUAAUAGCUCAUUGAUUUAGAAAACUAAUACAAAAAAUUUAACGGGGCUAAAAUAGAUACCGAAAUUAUGAACAUUAUUUUUGUGGUAGGAGAGCGUUGUGUAAAUCAAAGAAGAAUUAUUCUAAAAUAAUUUAGAGAUAUCACAAGUGCGAAUGCUGACAUAAGUAACAAUAAAGAAUGUGAGAAUCAUUCUCGCCGAAAAUCUAAGGUUUUCUAUUCUACGAUUAUCGUAAUAGAGUUAGUCGUGACCUAAGGCGAGGUUGAAAAACGUAGCUGAUGGGAAAAAGAUUAAAAUUUCUUCACCAUUAAUUUAUACGAAGAAAUAUGUAAAAAGUUCUUUAAUCCUAAAAUAGGAUUUUUAGGUUUAAUAUUAAAAAAUUUUUAACCAAGUAAAUCUAGUUAUAUAAUCUAAUAAUAUAAAUAAAAUUAAUAGAAUUAUGUUACCAAGAAAUGUUUCUAGUAUUAAUAUAUUAAUGCACGUACCGCAAUCCGACACAGGUAGAUAAGUAUAGUAUACUAAGGCGUUUGAGAUAAUCUAGGUGAAGGAACUAGGCAAAAUAGUAUCGUAACUUUUGGAAAAGAUACACUAGAAUAUUUAAAACUUUAGUUUUAAAGAACUAGUCUAAGAGGUAAGGUGGCUGCAACUGUUUAUUAAAAACACAGCACUCUGCUAACGUGUAAACGGAUGUAUAGGGUGUGACGCCUGCCCGGUGUUGGUAGGUUAAUUGAAAAUGUUAGUUUUAAAAACAAAGCAUUUAAUAAAAGCCCCAAUAAACGGCGGCCGUAACUAUAACGGUCCUAAGGUAGCGAAAUUCCUUGUCGGGUAAGUUCCGACCUGCACGAAUGGCGUAAUGAUGGUCACGCUGUCUCCAUCUAGAACUCAGUGAAAUUGAAAUUGCUGUGAAGAUGCAGUGUAUCUACGGCUAGACGGAAAGACCCCGUGAACCUUUACUAUAACUUCAUAUUGAAUAUUGGUAAUUUUUGUGUAGGAUAGCUGGGAGAUGUUGAUCUACAAUUACAAGAUUGUAAGUAGUCGUUCUUGAAAUACCAGUCUUUAAUUUUUGAUAUUCUAAUAUAAAUUAUAAUCUAAUUUAUAAAAAUUGUGUGGUGGGUAGUUUGACUGGGGCGGUCUCCUCCUAAAAAGUAACGGAGGAGUACAAAGGUACUCUCAGUACGUUUGGUAACCGUAUGUUGAGUGUAAGAGCAUAAGAGUGCUUAACUGUAAGAUAGACAUAUCGAACAGAUACGAAAGUAGGUUCUAGUGAUCCGAUAAUUCUGAAUGGAAUGGUUAUCGCUCAACGAAUAAAAGGUACUCCGGGGAUAACAGGCUAAUAUUGCCCGAGAGCUCAUAUCGACGGCAAUGUUUGGCACCUCGAUGUCGGCUCAUCACAUCCUGGGGCUGAAGUUGGUCCCAAGGGUAUGGCUGUUCGCCAUUUAAAGUGGUACGCGAGCUGGGUUUAGAACGUCGUGAGACAGUUCGGUCCCUAUCUACCGUAGAUGUAGAGAUUUUGAGAGAAUCUGUCUUUAGUACGAGAGGACCAAGAUGGUUAAACCACUGGUGUUCCGGUUGUUAUGCCAAUAGCAUAGCCGGUUAACUAAGUUUAAAAUGAUAACUACUGAAACAAUAUAAGUAGGAAGCAUAUCUCAAAAAUAAAUCUCCAAAAGAUUUGUUGUCUUUCUUAAGGUAACUUGAAUAUAACAAGUUUAAUAGGUGCAAUGUGUAAAAAUAGUAAUAUUUUAGCUAAUGCAUACUAAUUUUAUCGUGAGAAUUUUAUCUAUA